UCAAAGGCUCUUCUAAGAGCCACCCACUUGUUCCUGAAAAGGCUGU
rfam:Tupaia chinensis contig173122, whole genome shotgun sequence.